rnacentral:rRNA from 1 species
AACGAACGCUGGCGGCAUGCCUAACACAUGCAAGUCGAACGAUUGCCUUCGGGUGAUAGUGGCGCACGGGCGCGUAACGCGUGGGAAUCUGCCCUUAGGUUCGGAAUAACAGCUGGAAACGGCUGCUAAUACCGGAUGAUAUCGCGAGAUCAAAGAUUUAUCGCCUGAGGAUGAGCCCGCGUUGGAUUAGGUAGUUGGUGGGGUAAAGGCCUACCAAGCCGACGAUCCAUAGCUGGUCUGAGAGGAUGAUCAGCCACACUGGGACUGAGACACGGCCCAGACUCCUACGGGAGGCAGCAGUGGGGAAUAUUGGACAAUGGGCGCAAGCCUGAUCCAGCAAUGCCGCGUGAGUGAUGAAGGCCCUAGGGUUGUAAAGCUCUUUUACCCGGGAAGAUAAUGACUGUACCGGGAGAAUAAGCCCCGGCUAACUCCGUG